GGGGCCCGCACAAGCAGUGGAGCAUGUGGUUUAAUUCGAAGCAACGCGAAGAACCUUACCAGGGCUUGACAUCCCGCGAACCCUCCUGAAAGGAGGGGUGCCUUCGGGAGCGCGGAGACAGGUGCUGCAUGGUUGUCGUCAGCUCGUGUCGUGAGAUGUUGGGUUAAGUCCCGCAACGAGCGCAACCCCUGUCCUUUGUUGCCAGCGGUUUGGCCGGGCACUCAAAGGAGACUGCCGGAGACGAUCCGGAGGAAGUGGGGAUGACGUCAAAUCCUCAUGGCCCUUAUGUCCUGGGCGACACACGUGCUACAAUGGCCUGCACAAAGGGCUGCGAUGCCGCGAGGCAAAGCCAAUCCCCAAAAGCAGGUCCCAGUUCGGAUUGAAGGCUGAAACCCGCCUUCAUGAAGCCGGAAUUGCUAGUAAUCGCGGAUCAGCCAUGCCGCGGUGAAUACGUUCCCGGGCCUU
rnacentral:rRNA from 1 species